rfam:Hordeum vulgare subsp. vulgare, WGS project CAJW01000000 data, contig: morex_contig_1561806
GUCAUACUCCCUCAGCCCGAAAAUACUUGUCGGAGAAAUGAAUAAAAAUGGAUGUAUCUAGAACUAAAUACGUCUAGAUACGUCCAUUCCACCGACAAGUAUUUCCGGGCGGAGGGAGUAUUAU